rfam:Oryza rufipogon genomic scaffold, chr02
AAUAAACACAACCAUGAAUUUUCGUGUCCAAUUUUAAUCGGCCGUUUUAUAUAAUUUUUUUUAUGAUUAGCAUUUUUAUUGUUAUUAGAUUAUAAAAUAUGAAUAGUAUUUUAUGCAUGACUUAUAUUUUUUAGUUUUUCAAGAAAAAAACAAAUAAGACGGACGAUUAAAGUUAGACAAAAAACUCAUGGCUGUGUUUAUU